ensembl:lncRNA
GUGGAGUUUCUCAGCUGCAGAGAUAACAUAGCCCAGGGCUCCUUUGGGAUCUGUCUCCGGGAAUCAGCAUGGUUUGGGUGCAUCAUUUAGGGGGAAAAGCAGGAAGCAAGCUGAAUCAAGAGCAACAGUGUUAGAAUCCAUGAUGGGAUGUUCUAGCUGCUCUCUUUUGCUAUGGGAAAGCAAGGUUUAGAGAUGCCGACACCAGCAUACUCUUAAUUCUGAGAGCCUUCUGAAAACCCAGAUGCAGAGCAGUGGUGCUGGUAGCUCGGCCUACAGACUUGCCAUGUGUUUGAUGCAGCUGUGCUCAGAGAGGAAACUUCAGGAGCCAAGGAGUGUGAUUUCUCAAUAACCUGAUGGGCAGCAGCACAGCUCAUUUCCCCACCCUGUACCAGCUCAAUUUCUCUGGCAGGACUGCUGGGAAUGGCGGACCGCUGCUUCCGUCUGCUCCCAAACCUCCUGCUGACAAAACUGCACCUCUGUGAUCCUACCCAACCUGCUUCUGACCCAGCCGGGUAGGCAGGGGGGUCAACGUGGUGUCCUCUGUGCUUGCAUCUACCAGUGCUGCUCUGCCAGCUGCUGACCCAGCACCAUGAGGAUACUCAGAUCCCCUGGAUAUUCUUCUUACUAGAAUAAAGCUACCUGGAACUACUGCUUGGUUCCGGAGGUUUUGGGGUUCUCAGUGUGCUCUUGGCUUCCCAAAAUGCUGUGACAUGGAAAACCCUCAGCUGAGUUGGACAGAUAGAUAAACCAAGGCAUCGAGUACUUACGCAUCUAACGCUUGGGCACUCAAAUCCUCAUAAAGGAACUGGGAGCUCAGGAGACGCACAUGCAGGAGGCAUUUGAGAGCCAGGACUUCAGCAAAGAUUCAGGUAUUUGCUCAACCACAGCAAAAUGUCAUCCCCUUCAAGUGGUGAAUGAGCCCUUGAUCUCUGCAAGGUCAAGAUUUUUGCCUUCUGGCUUUAGGUGCUAGUGGUGAGAGACCUGUCCAAAGGUGCUGUUUUCUAGUGCUGUUGUCUAGUGCUCAUUUCUCUACCUAUUCACCUGUACACGUGAAGACCUCUGCUGCUGGCCCUUGUCUGCAGGAAGCUUGGUGUGUUGAGUCUCCUCAUCAACCCAUCUGUUGGGGUGACCGUUCAGCCCCUUGCUGGCUCACAGUCUUGCUUUUGGGAUAUUUCUUCCCUUUUACUCUGGAGCAUCUUAAAUGUGGGUCCACUGAAUGUACAGAUUGAGAGCAGGGAAUGAAGGAGACGUGUUGCAGAAUCAACCCACCGACGUGUGCUGCUCACCCACGCACAUGGGGAGAGGGAAAGAUUAAAAGAUUAAAGUUACAAACUGGAAAGCGCCCCAGGCUACCACGGAGAUCCGAGUGACUGCCUGCGAAGCCAAACUCCCACUCUGGAGGUGCCGCUCCACGCUCGCUGUCACUCACUCCACACUUGCUUUCUCCUGCCAUCCCUUCCUGCUACUGCCUUUGCUAUUUUUACAGGCUGAAAAAUUAAGUAAUCAUCUGUUUUGGCCACGAAGGAGGGCCCUGGGCAACUCCUGGUUGUCACUGCAGGGCUCGUGGGCGUAGCCUUCUGCUCCAUCGCUGCACUCCUGUACUUCUAGACCUUGAAGACUCCUCCAUCAGCCUUCUGCUUUGCCCCAUCUGCCCAUAUCACGGCCAGGUUUGGUUCGGAUGCGGCUCAGGACUUGCGUGGGAGGGGCAGCAAUUUGCAGCAGUUAGAAUUUCAGUAAUGACAUAGGGAAGUUUGCAAGGCCUUCAGUGCUUUCUCGCCCCUACAGUGAGGUGCGAAUCAAGGCUUGCUCUACCAAGCUUACAAUUAAAUAUGCCCACAGUAUCAUACUCCUUCCUGUCAUUUGUUAAGAUUUUCUCACUUUCUUUUCUUUCCCUUCGUUAGAGCUGGA